AUUGAACGCUGGCGGCAGGCCUAACACAUGCAAGUCGAGCGGAUGAAGGGAGCUUGCUCCUGGAUUCAGCGGCGGACGGGUGAGUAAUGCCUAGGAAUCUGCCUGGUAGUGGGGGAUAACGUCCGGAAACGGGCGCUAAUACCGCAUACGUCCUGAGGGAGAAAGUGGGGGAUCUUCGGACCUCACGCUAUCAGAUGAGCCUAGGUCGGAUUAGCUAGUUGGUGGGGUAAAGGCCUACCAAGGCGACGAUCCGUAACUGGUCUGAGAGGAUGAUCAGUCACACUGGAACUGAGACACGGUCCAGACUCCUACGGGAGGCAGCAGUGGGGAAUAUUGGACAAUGGGCGAAAGCCUGAUCCAGCCAUGCCGCGUGUGUGAAGAAGAUCUUCGGAUUGUAAAGCACUUUAAGUUGGGAGGAAGGGCAGUAAGUUAAUACCUUGCUGUUUUGACGUUACCGACAGAAUAAGCACCGGCUAACUUCGUG
rnacentral:rRNA from 1 species